AGGACGAACGCUGGCGGCGUGCCUAACACAUGCAAGUUGAGCGACGAACCGGGGCUUGCCCCGGGGCAAAGCAGCGAACGGGUGAGUAACACGUGGAUAACGUACCCCGAUAACCGGGACAACCCGAGGAAACUCGAGCUAAUACCGGAUGUGCCCAUCACACACCAGUGUGAUGUGUAAAGGAAGCUUCGGCCUCCGUAUCGGGAGCGGUCCGCGGCCCAUUAGCUAGUUGGUGAGGUAACGGCUCACCAAGGCAACGAUGGGUAGCUGGUCUGAGAGGACGAUCAGCCACACUGGGACUGAGACACGGCCCAGACUCCUACGGGAGGCAGCAGUGGGGAAUCUUGCGCAAUGCGCGAAAGCGUGACGCAGCAACGCCGCGUGGGGGAAGAAGGUUUUCGGAUUGUAAACCCUUUCAGGAAGGACGAAGGUACGGCAGUUAAUAGCUGACCGGACUGACGGUACUUCCACAAGAAGGUCCGGCUAACUACGUGCCAGCAGCCGC
rnacentral:rRNA from 1 species